AAAAUUUUAGUAUAAAAAGUAUAAUUAAUUGUCGUUUAAUAGGUUAAAAUUUUU
rnacentral:tRNA from 1 species